GUAGCAAUACUGGGAGGUGCGCACGGGUGCGUAACGCGUACACAAUCUACCUCUAAGGCGGGGGACACCUCCUAGGGAAACGGGGAUUAAUACCGCAUAAUAUGCCGAGGUCGCAUGACUUUGGUAAUUAAAGCAGCAAUGCACUUAGAGAUGAGUGUGCGUCCCAUUAGGUAGUUGGUGUGGUAACGGCUCACCAAGCCUAUGAUGGGUAGCCGGUCUGAGAGGAUGGUCGGCCACACGGGCACUGAGACACGGGCCCGACUCCUACGGGAGGCAGCAGUAAGGAAUAUUGGUCAAUGGUGGAAACACUGAACCAGCCAUGCCGCGUGGAGGAAUAAGGUCCUACGGAUUGUAAACUCCUUUUGACGAGGAAGAAAGUGUUAGAUUUAUCUAAUUUUGACGGUACUCGUAGAAUAAGCACCGGCUAACUCCGUG
rnacentral:rRNA from 1 species